GAUUUGGUUGUUUGUCUUAAGUUCUGAAUUUUCUUUAAUGAUAACAUCUUUAUCCUUAACUAAUGUUUCAUACUUACGGAGGUGAUUUGGUUAGUUAGUUUCAAUUCUUUGUUUUUAAGGUUUAUUGUCUUAUACUCGUCCAUUAAUUCAUUAAAAACAUCAUAUAAUUCAUCGAAAGUAAAGUCUAAAUGUGUUCCGAAUGUUACCUCAUUGUCGUUAGCCAUAAAACAUAGGUUGGCCUUUUCUUCUUGUUCCUCAUCCGAUGAUGAUGAUGAUGUAUCGGAGUCCGAUAG
rnacentral:lncRNA from 1 species